rnacentral:rRNA from 1 species
AGCUAGAUGUAUUUAUAUUUAGUGAUUUCUGCCCAGUGAUUUUUUAACGGCCGCAGUACUUUGACUGUGCUAAGGUAGCAUAAUCAAUUGGCUUUUAAUUGAAGUCUAGGAUGAAGGGGAGCUUGGGAAAAAGCUGUCUUAAAUAAAAUUUUAUAAAUUUAAUAAUUGGGUGAAAAUGCCCACUUUAAGAAAAAAGACGAGAAGACCCUUAGAGUUUUUUUGUUGGGGUGACAGGUGAACAAACUUCAUUUUACGAUAAAUUAAACUACCUUAGGGAUAACAGCAUAAUCUUAUUUAAGGAUUGUGACCUCGAUGUUGGACUAGGAAAAUAAUAAUUAGAAAUUAAAAUUUAAAGUUCUGUUCGAACAUUUUAUCCU